rnacentral:rRNA from 1 species
UACGUAGGGUGCAAGCGUUGUCCGGAAUUAUUGGGCGUAAAGAGCGUGUAGGCGGCCCCGUUAGUCCGCUGUAAAAGUCAAAGGCUCAACCUUUGAAUGCCGGUGGAUACUGUCGGGCUAGAGUCCGGAAGAGGCGAGUGGAAUUCCUGGUGUAGCGGUGGAAUGCGCAGAUAUCAGGAGGAACACCAAUAGCGAAGGCAGCUCGCUGGGACGGUACUGACGCUGAGGCGCGAAAGCGUGGGGAGCGAACAGG